rnacentral:rRNA from 1 species
CUGCGAGUGAAGCGGCAAAAGCUCAAAUUUGAAAUCUGACGUCUAUCGAGCCGUCCGAGUUGUAAUUUGGAGGAGCGUCUUCGGGAGCGGCACCGUCCUAAGUUCCGUGGAACCGGACGUCACAGAGGGUGAGAAUCCCGUGCCUGGGCGGCUGUCCGUUCCCAUGUGAAGUGCUUCCGACGAGUCGAGUUGUUUGGGAAUGCAGCUCAAAAUGGGUGGUAAAUUUCAUCUAAAGCUAAAUAUUGGCGAGAGACCGAUAGCGCACAAGUAGAGUGAUCGAAAGAUGAAAAGCACUUUGAAAAGAGAGUUAAAAAGUACGUGAAAUUGUUGAAAGGGAAGCGCUUGAGAUCAAACUCGGUCUUUGGUGAAGCUGCGAGCUCGCUCGGAGCCCCUCGCCCUUGACCGGGCCAGCAUCGGUUUCGACGGCGGGAGAACCGGUUGGGGAAUGUGGCUCUCCUCGGAGAGUGCUUAUAGCCCCAGCCAAAUACCGCCAGUCUGGACCGAGGACCGCGCUUCGGCUAGGAUGCUGGCGUAAUGGUCUUUAGCGACCCG